rnacentral:rRNA from 1 species
GAUGAACGCUGGCGGCGUGCUUAACACAUGCAAGUCGAGCGAAGCAGUUAAGAAGAUUCUUCGGAUGAUUCUUAACUGACUGAGCGGCGGACGGGUGAGUAACGCGUGGGUGACCUGCCCCAUACCGGGGGAUAACAGCUGGAAACAGCUGCUAAUACCGCAUAAGCGCACAGAGCUGCAUGGCUCGGUGCGAAAAACUCCGGUGGUAUGGGAUGGGCCCGCGUCUGAUUAGGCAGUUGGCGGGGUAACGGCCCACCAAACCGACGAUCAGUAGCCGGCCUGAGAGGGCGACCGGCCACAUUGGGACUGAGACACGGCCCAAACUCCUACGGGAGGCAGCAGUGGGGAAUAUUGCACAAUGGGGGAAACCCUGAUGCAGCGACGCCGCGUGAGCGAAGAAGUAUUUCGGUAUGUAAAGCUCUAUCAGCAGGGAAGAUAAUGACGGU